GUGGGGAAUAUUGGACAAUGGGGGCAACCCUGAUCCAGCCAUGCCGCGUGUGUGAAGAAGGCCUUCGGGUUGUAAAGCACUUUAAGCGGGGAGGAAGGUUCGCUGGCUAAUAUCCAGCGGAAUUGACGUUACCUGCAGAAUAAGCACCGGCUAACUCUGUGCCAGCAGCCGCGGUAAUACAGAGGGUGCAAGCGUUAAUCGGAAUUACUGGGCGUAAAGCGCGCGUAGGCGGUUGUGUAAGUUGGAGGUGAAAUCCCCGGGCUUAACCUGGGCACUGCCUUCAAAACUGCACGGCUAGAGUAUGGGAGAGGAAGGUAGAAUUCCAGGUGUAGCGGUGAAAUGCGUAGAGAUCUGGAGGAAUACCGAUGGCGAAGGCAGCCUUCUGGCCUAAUACUGACGCUGAGGUGCGAAAGCAUGGGGAGCAAACAGGAUUAGAAACCCGGGUAGUCC
rnacentral:rRNA from 1 species